ACGCUGGCGGCAGGCCUAACACAUGCAAGUCGAGCGGUAGAGAGAAGCUUGCUUCUCUUGAGAGCGGCGGACGGGUGAGUAAUGCCUAGGAAUCCGCCUGGUAGUGGGGGAUAACGCUCGGAAACGGACGCUAAUACCGCAUACGUCCUACGGGAGAAAGCAGGGGACCUUCGGGCCUUGCGCUAUCAGAUGAGCCUAGGUCGGAUUAGCUAGUUGGUGAGGUAAUGGCUCACCAAGGCGACGAUCCGUAACUGGUCUGAGAGGAUGAUCAGUCACACUGGAACUGAGACACGGUCCAGACUCCUACGGGAGGCAGCAGUGGGGAAUAUUGGACAAUGGGCGAAAGCCUGAUCCAGCCAUGCCGCGUGUGUGAAGAAGGUCUUCGGAUUGUAAAGCACUUUAAGUUGGGAGGAAGGGCAGUUACCUAAUACGUAUCUGUUUUGACGUUACCGACAGAAUAAGCACCGGCUAACUCUGUGCCAGCAGCCGCGGUAAUACAGAGGGUGCAAGCGUUAAUCGGAAUUACUGGGCGUAAAGCGCGCGUAGGUGGUUUGUUAAGUUGGAUGUGAAAUCCCCGGGCUCAACCUGGGAACUGCAUUCAAAACUGACAAGCUAGAGUAUGGUAGAGGGUGGUGGAAUUUCCUGUGUAGCGGUGAAAUGCGUAGAUAUAGGAAGGAACACCAGUGGCGAAGGCGACCACCUGGACUGAUACUGACACUGAGGUGCGAAGCGUGGGGAGCAAACAG
rnacentral:rRNA from 1 species